GGGGAGGGACGAUUGGAGUGCGGGUCUAUACAUGCAAGUUGAGCGCUGAAGGUUGGUACUUGUACCAACUGGAUGAGCAGCGAACGGGUGAGUAACGCGUGGGGAAUCUGCCUUUGAGCGGGGGACAACAUUUGGAAACGAAUGCUAAUACCGCAUAAAAACUUUAAACACAAGUUUUAAGUUUGAAAGAUGCAAUUGCAUCACUCAAAGAUGAUCCCGCGUUGUAUUAGCUAGUUGGUGAGGUAAAGGCUCACCAAGGCGAUGAUACAUAGCCGACCUGAGAGGGUGAUCGGCCACAUUGGGACUGAGACACGGCCCAAACUCCUACGGGAGGCAGCAGUAGGGAAUCUUCGGCAAUGGACGAAAGUCUGACCGAGCAACGCCGCGUGAGUGAAGAAGGUUUUCGGAUCGUAAAACUCUGUUGGUAGAGAAGAACGUUGGUGAGAGUGGAAAGCUCAUCAAGUGACGGUAACUACCCAGAAAGGGACGGCUAACUACGUGCCAGCAGCCGCGGUAAUACGUAGGUCCCGAGCGUUGUCCGGAUUUAUUGGGCGUAAAGCGAGCGCAGGUGGUUUAUUAAGUCUGGUGUAAAAGGCAGUGGCUCAACCAUUGUAUGCAUUGGAAACUGGUAGACUUGAGUGCAGGAGAGGAGAGUGGAAUUCCAUGUGUAGCGGUGAAAUGCGUAGAUAUAUGGAGGAACACCGGUGGCGAAAGCGGCUCUCUGGCCUGUAACUGACACUGAGGCUCGAAAGCGUGGGGGAGCAAACAGGAUUAGAUACCCUGGUAGUCCACGCCGUAAACGAUGAGUGCUAGAUGUAGGGAGCUAUAAGUUCUCUGUAUCGCAGCUAACGCAAUAAGCACUCCGCCUGGGGAGUACGACCGCAAGGUUGAAACUCAAGGAAUUGACGGGGCCCGCACAGCGUGAGCAUGUGUUUAUUCGAAGCACCGCGAAGAACUACCAGGUCUGACAUACUCGUGCUAUUUCUAAGGAUAGAGUUCUUCGGGACCCGGAUACAGGUGGUGCAUGUGUCGUCAGCUCGGUCGUGAAUGUGGGUUAAGUUCCCGCAC
rnacentral:rRNA from 1 species